UUAAAUUCUUAUUAUACUAGGAGAUGAAAAAUCCUUCAAAUAUUUGAAAAAUUUCUUAGAAUUUUCUCCCUAAGAAGUAGAGUGAGUUCUCACACUGAAAAUACAUAACCUAUCCAGAAAAGAACAUGGCGGGGCGCAAGCCCAUAGGGUCUUCCCACCCUCGCCUCGACGUCAACCACCGUCUCCCCCACCCUUCCUCCUCCGCCGCCGCACGCGCCCUCCCUAUCGCCGUCCUCGAGGAACGCGUCGAAGCUCGCCACCGUCAGAUCCAGUCCCUCCUCGUUGACAACCAGCGCCUCGCCGCUACCCACGUCGCCCUCAAGCAGGACCUCGCCGCUACACAGCUCGACCUCCGCCGUAUCUCCUCCGUCUCCGCGGAACUCAAGGCUGAACGCGACGCCGAGGUACGCCGGAUCUACGAGAAGUCUCUUAAACUCGACACCGAUGCUCGCGCUGUCGCUGCCAUGUCCGCCGAGCUCGACCAGGUCCGCGCCGAAGCUCGUGAGCUCGCCUCCGCCGGUGAGGAACUCGCCGCGAAGCUCAGCUCUGUCGAGAGUGACCUCGCCAGGGCGCGUGCGGAGGCUCAGGUCGUGCCAGCAAUCAAGGCUGACAUAGAGAUCGUUCGCCGCGAAAUUCAGCGAGGAAGGAAUGCUGUUGAACUCGAGAAGAAGACAUAUGCUGCCAAUCUUGAGCAAAGACGAACAAUAGACAACAACAUGAUUAUUAUGGCCCGUGAAAUUGAGAAGUUGCGUACUGAGCUGGCUAAUGCAGAAAAGAGGGCGAGGGCUGAAAUUACUGAAGCUAGAAACCCAAGUCCUGGAUAUGUUGCAACUCACAAUCCAGAGGUGGGACAUGGAGGAAUGUCAUUUCCUCCUGAUUCAUAUAGCAUGCAUCAGAUUCAACAGGGGGUUGAUGGUCAUCAUCAAUAUGCAUCUGGAACACUACAUCAUCCAUAUGACAUGCAGCAUACACAUGUGCCUAGAUAGCAACCAACAAUGUUUCAUUCUUGAAAGAAGAGAACGGAAACUAUGUAAAGGAAAACUUCAAACAGUGAGGAUAAAAGUAGAAUCAAUGGCAACAAAGCUGACAGCAGGGUUAGUUAGAGGUGGUGGAGUCUGAUGAGGGCGAAGGAGAGGCAGUUGCUGUCGAAAAAGAUAAGUGAUGAGGGAGGGACGGAUCGUUGUUAUUGAAAAAUUUAAAAACACUAGAGCUGCAAACAAAACGGAGAAAGAUUUUAUGGUCGAUUUCAAGAUACCCCAAACUUUAUGGAGCUUACUUCAGUGCCACUAUUCCCAGCCAAUUGUCACGAUUUUGAAUAUACUCUAAUGCAAUCUUGUCAGAAUUUGGAUUUACUCAAAUUCUUGAGUUAAGACCAAGUCAACCUAACCUUCAAUACUUAGCAAGAAAGCUAAGAACACAAGAAAACACAAGAGAAAUAAAAUUCUGGUAGAAAG